rnacentral:rRNA from 1 species
CAGUUAAAAAGCUCGUAGUUGAAUUUCUGAUCAUUUUUAGUCUUGGCUUCGGUCGGGCUAAGGUUGGUCAUCCGUCUGCAAGGUACUCUCGGCCUUUACUGGUUCGGAAUAUUGAGCUGACAUUUUACUUUGAAAAAAUUAGAGUGUUUCAGGCAGGCAUUUGCCCGAAUACAUUAGCAUGGAAUAAUGGAAUUGGACUUAGGUUCAUUUGGUUGGUUAUUGAAUCUGAGUAAUGGUUAAUAGGGACAGUUGGGGGCAUUAGUAUUUAAUUGUCAGAGGUGAAAUUCUUGGAUUUAUUAAAGACUAACUUAUGCGAAAGCAUUUGCCAAGGAUGUUUUCAUUAAUCAAGAACGAAAGUUAGGGGAUCAAAGACGAUCAGAUACCGUCCUAGUCUUAACUAUAAACUAUACCGACUCGGAAUUGGGUAGGGGUGUUUUAGCUCUAUCANCACCGUAGGAGAAAUCAAAGUCUUUGGGUCCUGGGGGGAGUAU